rnacentral:lncRNA from 1 species
UCUGUGAAGUCACUCCUCCCCCACUUUCAGUCCAUGUGCUUCAGGUAGAUUUGACUCCACCCAAGACUGGAAUAUGUGGCUUGGAUCAAGCUAAUCAGCUCAUCACAUUGUCCUGUUCAUGAUCAAUGAGAUUCUGACUGGGAAUGUGGUACCAAGAUCUUCCUAUCUCCCACUGCAUAGGAAGCUGGCAGGAUAGAGCCCUGGGAGCUGCUGGCAGUCACCUUAUGCCCAGAGGCUUUUAGCCCAUCAGAGGAUACUUUACGUUGUCCUGUUCUCUUUGGUGACAGAAAGCAAACACAACAAGGAGCCCUCACCUUACCCAUGAAGACAAAGAGCCAGAAAAAAUGUAAAUGCUGUGUUGUUUUCUGCGAAGAACUGAAAGCACGUCCUGAGCUGCC